rnacentral:rRNA from 1 species
UACGAACCGUACAAACGUUAUUCGGAAUCACUGGGCUUAAAGGGUGCGUAGGCGGCCAUGUAAGUGAGGUGUGAAAUCCCUCGGCUCAACCGAGGAACUGCGCUUCAUACUGCAUGGCUUGAGGGAGACAGGGGUAAGCGGAACUGAUGGUGGAGCGGUGAAAUGCGUUGAUAUCAUCAGGAACACCGGUGGCGAAAGCGGCGUGCUGGACCUUUUCUGACGCUGAGGCGCGAAAGCUAGGGGAGCAAACGGG